rnacentral:rRNA from 1 species
UACAGAGGUCUCAAGCGUUGUUCGGAUUCAUUGGGCGUCAAGGGUGUGUAGGUGGCGCCGUAAGUCGGGUGUGAAAUUUCGGAGCUUAACUCCGAAACUGCAUUCGAUACUGCGGUGCUUGAGGACUGGAGAGGAGACUGGAAUUCAUGGUGUAGCAGUGAAAUGCGUAGAGAUCAUGAGGAAGACCAGUGGCGAAGGCGGGUCUCUGGACAGUUCCUGACACUGAGACACGAAGGCCAGGGGAGCAAACGGG